CCUACGGGCGGCAGCAGUGAGGAAUAUUGGUCAAUGGGCGGAAGCCUGAACCAGCCAAGUCGCGUGAGGGAAUAAGGCCCUACGGGUCGUAAACCUCUUUUGCCGGGGAGCAAGGGCCGGGACGAGUCCCGGUCCGGAGAGUACCCGGAGAAAAAGCAUGGGCUAACUCCGUGCCAGCAGCCGCGGUAAUACGGAGGAUGCGAGCGUUAUCCGGAUUUAUUGGGUUUAAAGGGUGCGUGGGCGGGCUUUUAAGUCAGCGGUAAAAAUUCGGGGCUCAACCCCGUCCGGCCGUUGAAACUGGGGGCCUUGAGUGGGCGAGAGGAAGGCGGAAUGCGUGGUGUAGCGGUGAAAUGCAUAGAUAUCACGCAGAACCCCGAUUGCGAAGGCAGCCUUCCGGCGCCCUACUGACGCUGAGGCACGAAAGUGCGGGGAUCGAACAGGAUUAGAUACCCGAGUAGUC
rnacentral:rRNA from 1 species